rnacentral:rRNA from 1 species
GGGCGCAAGCCUGAUCCAGCAAUGCCGCGUGAGUGAUGAAGGCCUUAGGGUUGUAAAGCUCUUUCGGCGGGGAAGAUGAUGACGGUACCCGCAGAAGAAGCCCCGGCUAACUUCGUGCCAGCAGCCGCGGUAAUACGAAGGGGGCUAGCGUUGUUCGGAAUUACUGGGCGUAAAGGGCGCGUAGGCGGCGCGUUAAGUCAGGUGUGAAAGCCCUGGGCUCAACCCAGGAAUUGCACUUGAUACUGACGUGCUUGAAUCCGGAAGAGGAUGACGGAAUUCCCAGUGUAGAGGUGAAAUUCAUUGAUAUUGGGAAGAACACCAGUGGCGAAGGCGGUCAUCUGGUCCGGUAUUGACGCUGAGGCGCGAAAGCGUGGGGAGCAAACAGGAUUAGAUACCCUGGUAGUCCACGCCGUAAACGAUGAGUGCUAGACGUCGGGGGGUUGCCUCUCGGUGUCGCCGCUAACGCAUUAAGCACUCCGCCUGGGGAGUACGGCCGCAAGGUUA